GACGAACGCUGGCGGCGUGCUUAACACAUGCAAGUCGAACGGAAAGGCCCUGCUUUUGUGGGGUGCUCGAGUGGCGAACGGGUGAGUAACACGUGAGUAACCUGCCCUUGACUUUGGUAUAACUUCAGGAAACUGGGGCUUAUACCGGAUAGGAGCUCCUGCUGCAUGGUGGGGGUUGGAAAGUUUCGGCGGUUGGGGAUGGACUCGCGGCUUAUCAGCUUGUUGGUGGGGUAGUGGCUUACCAAGGCUUUGACGGGUAGCCGGCCUGAGAGGGUGACCGGCCACAUUGGGACUGAGAUACGGCCCAGACUCCUACGGGAGGCAGCAGUGGGGAAUAUUGCACAAUGGGCGGAAGCCUGAUGCAGCAACGCCGCGUGCGGGAUGACGGCCUUCGGGUUGUAAACCGCUUUCGCCUGUGACGAAGCGUGAGUGACGGUAAUGGGUAAAGAAGCACCGGCUAACUACGUG
rnacentral:rRNA from 1 species